rnacentral:lncRNA from 1 species
UUUUGUUGUGGCAUGGUCAAGCGACUAGUCACCUCCUUGGCAAUUUCCAGCUGAAGCUCAGGCGUUGGGGGUUCUUCGGUUGAAGAAGACAAGGACAAGGAUUCAUGUUCACUUGACAAUUCUUGUCCUCUAUGAUGCUCAUGGCUGACAUUGGCCCCUGACAUGUUGUGUACACCAGAGGUAGCAUGGGCAUCUUAGCUUCCUCACCCGAGUGCCUGGUAACGACCUGCCGACCAACGGUGAC